AGGGGGAGGCAAUGAAGCAAAGGAGAAAGAGUGAAAAAGCCAUAGGAACAGGCCAGAGGCCUCAGCCCCUGCCGCAGAGUGGAGUUGGUCUUAAAACUUCGGGGACUGGUCGACCGAGGACCCGGCUCCAGGGUAGUGAAGAAACUGAGGUUUGGUAAUAAUAAUUUGCCCAAAACCAAGUUGUUAGCAGUGCAUUGAGCAGCUGUCAUUCCCAUCAGCGUGCACCUGCAGGAGGCGAUAGAUAACUUCUUGGGUGCCAACUCCGUCCUCCAUGUUUCCUUCUUAAUGGCCAGAUCCAUACCUUUGCUGGGAAAAUCUACUGGAAGACAAGAUCUCUGUGCAACACAAAACACGUGUGGUAUUAGCAAGUUUGACACUUGUAUUCAUUCAACACGUUCAUUCAUUUACCUAAUAAAUAUUUAC